rnacentral:rRNA from 1 species
UACGGAGGGUGCGAGCGUUAAUCGGAAUUACUGGGCGUAAAGCGCACGCAGGCGGUUUGUUAAGCUAGAUGUGAAAGCCCCGGGCUCAACCUGGGAUGGUCAUUUAGAACUGGCAGACUAGAGUCUUGGAGAGGGGAGUAGAAUUCCAGGUGUAGCGGUGAAAUGCGUAGAUAUCUGGAGGAACGUCAGUGGCGAAGGCGACUCCCUGGCCAAAGACUGACGCUCAUGUGCGAAAGUGUGGGUAGCGAACAGG